AUUAUGGAGAGUUUGAUCCUGGCUCAGGACGAACGCUGGCGGCGUGCCUAAUACAUGCAAGUCGAGCGGAGUUAUUCCUUCGGGGAUAACUUAGCGGCGGACGGGUGAGUAACACGUAGGUAACCUGCCUGUAAGACUGGGAUAACAUUCGGAAACGAAUGCUAAUACCGGAUAUGCAGCUUGGUCGCAUGACCUUGCUGGGAAAGACGGAGCAAUCUGUCGCUUAUGGAUGGACCUGCGGCGCAUUAGCUAGUUGGUGAGGUAACGGCUCACCAAGGCGACGAUGCGUAG
rnacentral:rRNA from 1 species